rnacentral:rRNA from 1 species
UACGAAGGGGGCUAGCGUUGUUCGGAAUUACUGGGCGUAAAGGGCUCGUAGGUGGCCAACUAAGUCAGACGUGAAAUCCCUCGGCUUAACCGGGGAACUGCGUCUGAUACUGGAUGGCUUGAGUUCGGGAGAGGGAUGCGGAAUUCCAGGUGUAGCGGUGAAAUGCGUAGAUAUCUGGAGGAACACCGGUGGCGAAGGCGGCUCACUGGCCCGAUACUGACGCUGAGGCACGAAAGCGUGGGGAGCAAACAGG